GUGUCCGUUCGUCUUCCGACUUCCUCUUUCCGCGCGCGCUUGAGUGGUUCUUCGUUAGGGGGGCUUUGUGAAAGUGCUCGUUGCGGCCGGUAUUUCGGAGGAGAUACGCUGUUUGUCCUCCGAUCGGAGGAUUCGCGCGGAUGGUGGACCCGCGGUUGUUGGGUGUUGAUUCAUGAAGAGCUUAAAUAAGUGGCCAGCCGUUGCCGUUGGACUUUAGGGCUGAAGUGACCUAACAACUUCCGUAAACAAGAUUCCCCCUCAUUUUAAUCCAAGUUACCACCACAUGAUGUUCGCCUGUUUGAUGACCUGUCUACUCGCCGUUAAAGGUAUAAACGCACAAGCAGUCAUCGGAGCCUUGACUCUAGGCCAGGGCACAAUGAAUGCAAGCAGAGAUAAUUGUUCUUGGAGGAGGGAUGUGGAGGACGCUUGUCCUGACCCCGAAAUCAACUUCUCCUUGUAUACC